UACGGAGGAUCCAAGCGUUAUCCGGAUUCAUUGGGUUUAAAGGGUGCGUAGGCGGAAUGAUAAGUCAGCGGUGAAAUCCCUCGGCUUAACCGAGGAACUGCCGUUGAUACUGUCAAUCUUGAGUACAUUUGAUGUGGGCGGAAUGUGUCAUGUAGCGGUGAAAUGCUUAGAUAUGACACAGAACACCGAUUGCGAAGGCAGCUCACAAAACUGUAAACUGACGCUGAGGCACGAAAGCGUGGGUAUCAAACAGG
rnacentral:rRNA from 1 species